rnacentral:rRNA from 1 species
AAAUUGAAGAGUUUGAUCAUGGCUCAGAUUGAACGCUGGUGGCAGGCCUAACACAUGCAAGUCGAACGGUAACAGGAAACAGCUUGCUGUUUCGCUGACGAGUGGCGGACGGGUGAGUAAUGUCUGGGAAACUGCCUGAUGGAGGGGGAUAACUACUGGAAACGGUA